ensembl:lncRNA
CAGAGGGAGAGGUGGAGAAAGUGGAGUGGAGUCAACCCAGCAUUAACCCUGUGGGGCUCAGAACGAGGUGGCUUCCUGACCAGGCUCCUUCCCCAGGACUCAACACCAGGUAACUGACCAGGCUCCUUCUCCCAGUACUCAACACCAGGCUCCUUCCCCCAGUACUCAACACCAGGCUCCUUCCCCCAGUACUCAACACCAGGCUCCUUCCCCCAGUACUCAACACCAGGCUCCUUCUCCCAGUACUCAACACCAGGUAUCUGACCAGGCCCCUUCUCCCAGUACUCAACACCAGGCCCCUUCUCCCAGUACUCAACACCAGGCUCCUUCUCCCAGUACUCAACACCAGGUAACUGACCAGGCUCCUUCCCCAGUACUCAACACCAGGCUCCUUCUCCCAGUACUCAACACCAGGCUCCAUCUCCCAGUACUCAACACCAGGCUCCUUCCCCCAGUACUCAACACCAGGCUCCUUCCCCUGUACUCAACACCAGGCUCCUUCCCCAGUACUCAACACCAGGUAACUAACCAGGCUCCUUCCCCCAGUACUCAACACCAGGCCCCUUCUCCCAGUACUCAACACCAGGUAACUGACCAGGCUCCUUCUCCCAGUACUCAACACCAGGCUCCUUCCCCCAGUACUCAACACCAGGCUCCUUCCCCCAGUACUCAACACCAGGUAACUGACCAGGCUCCUUCUCCCAGUACUCAACACCAGGUAACUGACCAGACUCCUUCCCCCAGUACUCAACACCAGGUAACUGACCAGGCUCCUUCUCCCAGUACUCAACACCAGGCUCCUUCUCCCAGUACUCAACACCAGGUAACUGACUGAUCAUGUUUGUCUUUAAGGGGAUACAUAUAGUACAUAUAACGGAUAAUGUAUUGUCCAAUGUCUGUUCUAAAACCCCAGAGGCAGUGAAGAGAGACGGGACAUGCAGGUAGAGAGGACGCAUUAGAAGGGUGUGGGUUGGGAUUCAAACCUGGCAACUAUCUGUUCUGAAGGCAGCACCAGUAACCACUAGACCACCCCAGGCUGUAGUUUGUAUAAAGGCUGUGCUGUA